AUGAGUGUGUUUAAACUGCUAGCAUCAAUGUGUGAUGAGCUAACACGUAUGAUCCGUCAGUAUUGGUGGGGAGUUGAGAAUGGGAAGAAGAUGGCUUGGAUGAGCUGGGACAAGUUGAGACUCCCAAAGUCCAUGGGUGGCAUGGGUUUUAGGGAUAUGAGUGCCUUUAACCAGGCCUUGCUAGCCAAACAAGCUUGGAGAUUAUUGGACACGCCGGACAACCUGUGUGCUCGCCUUUUAAAAGCUAAGUAUUAUCCUACAGGGCAUUUGUUGGAUACGGUCUUUCCGGCUACGGGAUCCGCAGUUUGGAAAGGUAUAUUGCACGGUUUGGAACUUGUUCAGAGGGGGGUCAUCUGGCGCAUGGGUAAUGGUACUUCUAUCCGUACUUGGAGGGACCCGUGGAUCCCGUGACCCUUCUCCCUACAGACGAUCUCCCCGAAGGGUUCUUGCCGCUUCAACCGUGUGUCAGAUUUCUUGGAUGAUAAGGGUGCAUGGAGAGUGAAUCGCAUAAAUGCAGCCUUCUAGCCUUUGGACGUUGAUCAUAUUCUGAAAAUCAGAACCUCUCCACGACAAUGCGGUGAUUUUAUGUCUUGGUUUCCGGAGAAGCACAGAAUGUUUACAGUAAAAAGCACAUACAAGCUAGCUACCCAGGAGCAUAAUUUGAUCCAUGCUGCAGGGAGUUCUAGCACACAUCCGGAUGGUAAUCGCACCUUAUGGCACACCAUGUGGAAAGCACCUGUGCCUCAGAAAAUGAAGAUCACUGCUUGGAGAGUGGUGACAGGAACGCUGGCGACGCAGCAAUGCAAGAGGAAAAGACACAUCUCUACACGGGCAACUUACCCUCUUUGUGGAUUGGAGGAGGAGAGCACAUUCCAUGCGAUGGUUUCUUGCUCGCAGGCACGUACUCUCUGGGUAAAUAUGAGAGCUAAGUGGCCACUCCCGGGGGAUGAUUUCCUCAUUGAUUCUGGAAACGAAUGGCUUAUGCACUUACUUACCAAAUGCUCUGUGGAAGUCCAGUCCAUGCUGAUCAUGUUAAUAUGGCGAAUUUGGCAGCUACACGAUGACAAGUUCCAUGGGAAGGAGGUUCCUCCGGUUCUUGCCUCAGUCGAGUUUCUAGAUAGCUACUAUAAAUCAAUCAUACUUGCGGGGAAGUAUUUAGAGGAUGAAAUUUUGAAGGGAAAGAUGUCUACCUCGCCCAUUGAUAUACCUUUGCAGAAGACGCUAAGCCCUCCAGCACCUUGGCCAGCCCCGGCAUUGGGUACGGUGGCCCUCUCUAUCGAUGGGUCUUUCCAGAUAGCAGAUGGCUCGGCGGCUGCUGGGAUGGUUCUCAGGAACAACGAGGGAUCUAUUCUUUUUGCGGCGUACAGGUUCAUUUUCCACUGCAAUGACUCGCUGGAAGCAGAACUACAUGCGAUAAUGCAGGGUAUGGCACUGGCAAUUUAA
rnacentral:rRNA from 1 species